rnacentral:lncRNA from 1 species
ACAUGAGGAAGAAAACAGUUCAGUCGUUCAAGAAGCCACAAGCCACCCAGGCAUGGAAGAAUGGGAUUGAAAGAGGUCAGACUCAGGAGAGGACUCCAGGCCAACAAAGUCAUGGUGCCUGGUAACAAGAUACAUUUAGCCACACCAAACUGUGACCUCUGCUUUCUCCUUUGGCUAAGUGUCCCUCAUGUUGGAUCCAGUCCUCAGCAGGAGCCAUAAUUCCUCAGCAGAUGAUUUCCACAGCCUUGGGAGAUCGGCAGAAGCCUCCUCUCUGCAGGGCUCUGGAAGACUGCUUUCGUUCAGGACCACAGUGAGUGAAGGAGCAAGGAGAGUCACUGUUGGGGUCAGACCAAUUCAGAAGCCCUGAGGACCAUGUCCAGGACAGAAUAGAGGAGAAGUUCCCACUGGUUUUUCACCCUCCUCAACUAAAAGGCACCCCUACAACUCGAACCCACACUUCAGAAGAGGCAGGAGCAAUGUCAGGAACUGGUACUCACUGGAUUUUCC